UUGGGGUGCAGCAGGCGCGAAACCUUAGCAAUGUGCGAAAGCACGACUGGGUCAGUCCGAGUGAUUCCUGAUAAAGGAGUCUUUUGCUUGUCCUAAAAGCACAGGUGAAUAAGGGGUGGGCAAGUCUGGUGUCAGCCGCCGCGGUAAUACCAGCACCUCGAGUGGUCAGGACGUUUAUUGGGCCUAAAGCAUCCGUAGCCGGCUCUGCAAGUCUUCGGUUAAAUCCACCUGCUCAACAGAUGGGCUGCUGGAGAUACUACAGAGCUAGGGAGUGGGAGAGGCAGACGGUAUUCAGUGGGUAGGGGUAAAAUCCUCUGAUCCAUUGAGGACCACCAGUGGCGAAGGCGGUCUGCCAGAACACGUUCGACGGUGAGGGAUGAAAGCUGGGGGAGCAAACCGGAUUAGAUACCCGGGUAGUCCCAGCUGUAAACGAUGCAAACUCGGUGAUGCAUUGACUUAUGGCCAAUGCAGUGCCGCAGGGAAGCCGUUAAGUUUGCCGCCUGGGAAGUACGGACGCAAGUCUGAAACUUAAAGGAAUUGGCGGGGGAGCAC
rnacentral:rRNA from 1 species